AAAAAUCAGCAAGGAAAGAUGGCCUUGUUGAACUUGACUCUAGUCUGACUUUGUGAAAUGACUUGAGAGGUGUAGAAUAAGUGGGAAUAUUUUACAGCACAAAUGAAAUACCACUACUUUAAACAUUAUUUUACUUAUAAUUCUAUGGGGUGGAGACAGAGCAAUUACCCUAUUUUUGGUCUUAAGUCACGUUUCAAUGGGUCAAUCUAGGCGAAAGAAAUUGUCAGGUGGGGAUUUUGGAUGGGGUGACACAUUUGUUAAAAGAUAACAUAAAAUAUAAUUUGUGUAGGUAGAACAUUUGUAUUUGGGAGAUCCUAGUGCACAAGCACCCUUAUUACCUUUCCCUCCUAAUUUGUAGU
rnacentral:ncRNA from 1 species